GAUGAACGCUGGCGGCGUGCCUAAUACAUGCAAGUCGAGCGAACGGACGAGAAGCUUGCUUCUCUGAUGUUAGCGGCGGACGGGUGAGUAACACGUGGAUAACCUACCUAUAAGACUGGGAUAACUUCGGGAAACCGGAGCUAAUACCGGAUGAUAUUUUGAACCGCAUGGUUCAAAAGUGAAAGACGGUCUUGCUGUCACUUAUAGAUGGAUCCGCGCUGCAUUAGCUAGUUGGUAAGGUAACGGCUUACCAAGGCAACGUUGCAUAGCCGACCUGAGAGGGUGAUCGGCCACACUGGAACUGAGACACGGUCCAGACUCCUACGGGAGGCAGCAGUAGGGAAUCUUCCGCAAUGGGCGAAAGCCUGACGGAGCAACGCCGCGUGAGUGAUGAAGGUCUUCGGAUCGUAAAACUCUGUUAUUAGGGAAGAACAUAUGUGUAAGUAACUGUGCACAUCUUGACGGUACCUAAUCAGAAAGCCACGGCUAACUACGUG
rnacentral:rRNA from 1 species